rnacentral:lncRNA from 1 species
UAUAGUUUGUAAUAUUGUUUCUUUACUUUCGUUUAAAAAUAUUUCUAUUUUUAAUUAUGUGUAUGUGGGGGCAAGGGUAUGUGCACAUGAGUGUGGGCACCUGCAGAGGCCAAAGAUUUUGUAUCCCCUGGAGCUGGAGUUACAGGCAGCUAUGAGCAGCUUGACAUGGGUGCUAGGAACUGAACUCUAGAAGAACUGUGUGUGCUCUUAACCAAUGGUUGACUGUUUUUGAUAACAUGACUGUAAUGUCAUGGAGAGGUUUGUCUCCAGUCGCAGGUAUUUGGGGUUCCAAGUCUCCAGAUGUGUUUUGAAUAUCUGUUUCUUUCUGAAGAUUUGAGGAAUUUUUUUCCUCUGAUGCCAGUGAAUGGAUAUUCUGUGUGAUUGGUGUUUAUCUCAGCUUGUUCUUCUAGCCCAUGAUUUUUAGAUUUCUUCUUUCAGUUGUAUCUCAUUUUAGUUCUUUUCCUUAUUGGCAUUUGAAUAUAGUGUUAGUCACCCUUGGCCUCUAGUUAUAUGACUCUACUUGAUUCUAUUGAUGAUGUUUUCCACUGUAUUAUUUACCUACUUAUUUACUGAGGUCUUACUUUCUAACAUUUCUGUUGGUUUUGUUUUGUUCAGGCUGUGGUUUUUGUUUGUUGUCUUGUUUUUCUUUUCAGAUUUUGGGCGUGGGGUAGUUUUGCUGCUGCUGACCUUUCAUCCACGUUGCUGACUUCUUCCACUCUGUUGUCGAGUUUCCUCUUUUGGACCUGUAUUGGGUUCAUCUUUUUAUUUGUAUACUCUUUGGGUCAUUGAUCAUUUUCAUGAGAAGUCAUUUGAAAUCUUUAUCCGGUACUUGACUUUUCAGUAUCAUUGGGUUCUGUCGCUGGAGGAUGGUCUUUGGGGAGUCAUGCUGUCUUGCUUUCUGAUAUGCUGUGAUUUGCAUAUCUGUUGGUUUGGAUAUUUCUUCUGGGUUGGGGCAUCUUCCUAGUGAGUGAUCGCCUUCUGAACAUUUAACCCACGUACCACUUGGCAACAACAACAGCAAACCAUACAAGCUAUAUAAACACGUGUAAAAAUUAAUGACAGCCCACCAGUGGACACAGCACUAACAAUGAAAAACUACUUUCCAAUGUGCUAAGUGUGUCAAAGUAAAAAGAUACAGGAAGAAGACCAGAAAGGGAUAGAAAAGGAAAGAAAGACCUGGGUAAUCAGACAAAAGGAUAAAGGAGGUGUUGAAUGUCAGGGUUGCUAAAGAAGAAGGGCAAAACAAUAGAAAAAAUGAAAGAAGAAAAAGGGGACCAGGUGAAAGCAUUCAAAUGUACAUAAACGUCAGGGGACUAUAUAUAUGUUUGUUUUUUAAAAGCCAGAACUGGGAAGGUGGCUCAGUCAGUACAGCACCUGCCCCUCAAGCAGGGGAGCUAAGCAUAGAUCCAGAACCCAUCUAAAGGCUUGUUGCAGUGGCUUAUCUGUGACUCCUGCAGUGGCAGGUGGGGCGGAUCCCUGCAGCUUACUGGCCAGUCAUCCUAGCUGAAUGAAUGAGUUCCAGGUUCAGUUAGAGACUUCGUCUUAAAAAGUAAGAGUGUUGGGAGGCAGAGGCAGGCGGAUUUCUGAGUUCGCGGCUAGCCUAGGCUACAGAGUGAGUUCCAGGACAGGGCUACACAGAGAAACCCUGUCUCAAAAAACCAAAAAAAAGAAAACC